UACAGAGGGUGCGAGCGUUAAUCGGAUUUACUGGGCGUAAAGGGUGCGUAGGUGGUAAAGCAAGUAAGAUGUGAAAGCCCUGGGCUUAACCUGGGAAGUGCAUCUUAAACUGCUUAACUAGAGUAUGGUAGAGGGUAGUGGAAUUUCCGGUGUAGCGGUGAAAUGCGUAGAGAUCGGAAGGAACGCCAGUGGUGAAGACGACUACCUGGACCAAUACUGACACUGAGGUACGAAAGCGUGGGGAGCAAACAGG
rnacentral:rRNA from 1 species